GAAGGCAUAGCUCAGUGGUAAAGCAUUCGACUACAGAUCGAGAGGUCCCCGGUCCGAACCCGGGUAUCUUCU
rnacentral:tRNA from 1 species